GGGUAAAUUCCUAAAUGUGUCAUUUGAGAGUCAGAAAUGAAUGUGUAUUUAAUUUUGUUAGACUUUUCCAUAUUGGCAUCCAGAAUGAUUGUAUCCAUUGACACUCCCACCAACCGCACAGGAGAUGACAACGUGGACUUUGGAGUCAGAAGAUCUGAGUUCAGUCCUGGCGCCCACUUGACAGCUGUGGGAAGUGAGCUCCAGUGUCCUCACUGGAAACCUGAGAAUAAUGCUGUGGAUCCAAGAAGGACAUAUAAAGUGUGCAGAACGGGGGGAUCACCACAAACACUCUCCGCCAUCUCCUCUCCCCUCUUCAGCGUCCUCCCCUACAGAACUGGGGUCCUUGCUGCUCUUCCAGCUUCGCAGUAACACAGGGUGUCUUGAGGCCCAAGGGAAGGAGCGUGUGUGAAAGUGCUUUACCGAACCAACUGUAAUGAAAUCAAGGCAGGUUCACAGCACGCCAGCUGAUCCCUGUCCUCUGGGACCCACCGCCCCAGCCCACACCCACCAGCCAGAGGAGACGCGAGUGGGAGGAGGUCACCUGGCCUUAGCCCUGCCACCACUUGAUGCAACCUUUCCCCCAGGCUGCCACAUGCCCAGUUUUAAAAGGAACAGAAUGAGAUGGUUUCAAAGAGCUUAUUCACGCUUAUGUUCUAGAUAAGUGCAGUUUCUAGAUGCAGACAGAGAACAUCACACAAAAAGGACAUGAUAUUUGAGAACAGACUUACUAACACACAGACUUCUCGGGAUGGCCAGAAAUUGAAAGUGCAAGCUGCUGGACUCUCCCCUGAGACAGAGCAAACCCUCAACGAGGCUGUGAUCACAUCCCAGGCUGCACUACCCACUCGCUGCCCCAGGAGCUGGGCCGCGGCUUUUGGUUGUGGGGCCAAUUACUGCCUAACCUUCUCUGAGUGGCCUCAUGACAAAAUCUGGCUGCUCUGAAUCUUUGCAUUUAUUUUCUUCAUUAGGAAGCUGUUUUUCAUGACAAAAAUACAACCAAGUUACAGAAAUUUUUGUUUAGAAGGGGGAGAACUGUAAUUUGCCCCAAAAUCCUACUUGUAACUUGACACAACCAGUGUAGGUUUCCUCCUAGACUCCCCGUCUUUGCUGUUACUGCUUGAUCCGCCAAGCCCCCUGCGAAUGCCAAAGAGCGUCUUGUUCCUGGACCACUUCCCCCUGGUUCCACUGGCCAAGAAAACAAAUGUAGUACUUCUGCCGGGUCUGUUCCUGAGAGCUCUGGUCUGGGAAUAUUUUCCUGAAAUGUUACCCUGAAACAACAGAAAUGAACCCACAAGUGGGUUCACACCCCUUCCACACUGUGUGCUGAACACCCAAGUGUCCUCGUCACCCACUUGCUCCUAUGAGGGGCAGGGGAAGAGUCUGGUUGAAAGUCCUAUAUUCAAGUCCCUGGGCCACCUCGAUUAGCUGUGACCCUAGGCUUGUCCCUUCACUUUUCUGGGCCUUGGUUUCCUCAUCUGUAAAGUGGGAAUGAGAAAACAAUACAAACUUCCUAAGAUCCACGAGGAUCAAAUAAGAUAAUGUACAGAGAAGCUGAAAAUACUUUUGACCAGUGGAUGUGCAUCCAGAGAGAAGACAGCCUGACCCCAGACGUGAUAUGUCUGAACCUCACAGACGGAUCCACACCUGGGGCCGCCAGGAUUCCUCCAGCGAACAUCUGAAGGGCCAGGACCACCUCUAUUCAACCACCCUUUGUCCAGUCAGCAAACUUACUGCUCCAGGCACUGGAGACACAAGUGACUCAGAUGCCCUCCCUGUCACUGAGGGGCUCACAUCUGGUGGAGGGGACUGGGAACAGCAGCCUCGGGCCAAGGUGUGUCUCCCAGAACAGGGAGAUGACCAAGGGGCAGCAGGAGCCAGGAACAAGGGCUUCUGUUGUUUCUCCCUCUCCGGUCUGAGGCUCACCAGGCCUGAGACUGGGCAGGGCGGGCAGAGGAGGCCGUACUCAACCCGCAGAACAGCCCGGGGAAGAGCUGUCACCCGUGGUGAGGCCCAGAAGCGGGGCAGGAAGAGCCUCACAGAUGGGGAAACUCCUUCCCCUGGAAGACACUGUGAUCUGCCCAAGGUCUCUCAGCAAGACGACUGGGGGCAGAAACUAGAACUGGGCUUCCAGAAGACCAAGCCAGCCCCACUCCCCACUCAGCAGAACCUGAGUCCGGUUUUUAGAAAAGAGAGAAUCAGGCCUGGGUUCUUAUCCCUGCUCUGCUGUGUGACCCUGCACAAGGCCUGGCCCCUCUCUGGGCUUCACUCUGGGUGCACAGCAAGGAUGAAGGCCAUUCCAGCUUUGACGUUAGGGCACCAAACUGAGGCAGGCAGCCCCUGAGCACUGAAAACCUGAGCACUGAGUACUAAAAACCUGGAGAGAACUAAAAGCCUAGGGUCCUAUCCUAUCCUGGCCCCUCUGCUGCAGGGGACCACAGACCAGAGCUGCAGCCUUCCCAGCGGCCACCCCUCCGAGCCCUUCCCUGCUGGGCCUCUGCCAGCCCCUCUGCCUCCGCGUGGGCCUUCCUCACCCCUGCAAGGCCUUGAC
rnacentral:lncRNA from 1 species